CGUAGGGUGCGAGCGUUAAUCGGAAUUACUGGGCGUAAAGCGUGCGCAGGCGGUUUAGUAAGACAGGCGUGAAAUCCCCGGGCUCAACCUGGGAACUGCGCUCGUGACUGCUAAGCUAGAGUACGGCAGAGGGGGUGGAAUUCCACGUGUAGCAGUGAAAUGCGUAGAGAUGUGGAGGAACACCAAUGGCGAAGGCAGCCCCCUGGGUCGAUACUGACGCUCAUGCACGAAAGCGUGGGUAGCAAACAGGAUUAGAUACCCUGGUAGUCCACGCCCUAAACGAUGUCAACUAGGUGUUGGGAGGGUAAAACCUUUUAGUACCGGAGCUAACGCGUGAAGUUGACCGCCUGGGGAGUACGGCCGCAAGGUUA
rnacentral:rRNA from 1 species